rnacentral:rRNA from 1 species
GAUCUGCUCAGAUUGAACGCUGGCGGCAGGCCUAACACAUGCAAGUCGAGCGGUAGAGAGAAGCUUGCUUCUCUUGAGAGCGGCGGACGGGUGAGUAAUACCUAGGAAUCUGCCUGAUAGUGGGGGAUAACGUUCGGAAACGGACGCUAAUACCGCAUACGUCCUACGGGAAAAAGCAGGGGACCUUCGGGCCUUGCGCUAUCAGAUGAGCCUAGGUCGGAUUAGCUAGUUGGUGAGGUAAUGGCUCACCAAGGCUACGAUCCGUAACUGGUCUGAGAGGAUGAUCAGUCACACUGGAACUGAGACACGGUCCAGACUCCUACGGGAGGCAGCAGUGGGGAAUAUUGGACAAUGGGCGAAAGCCUGAUCCAGCCAUGCCGCGUGUGUGAAGAAGGUCUUCGGAUUGUAAAGCACUUUAAGUUGGGAGGAAGGGCAGUUACCUAAUACGUGAUUGUCUUGACGUUACCGACAGAAUAAGCACCGGCUAACUCUGUGCCAGCAGCCGCGGUAAUACAGAGGGUGCAAGCGUUAAUCGGAAUUACUGGGCGUAAAGCGCGCGUAGGUGGUUUGUUAAGUUGAAUGUGAAAUCCCCGGGCUCAACCUGGGAACUGCAUCCAAAACUGGCAAGCUAGAGUAUGGUAGAGGGUAGUGGAAUUUCCUGUGUAGCGGUGAAAUGCGUAGAUAUAGGAAGGAACACCAGUGGCGAAGGCGACUACCUGGACUGAUACUGACACUGAGGUGCGAAAG